UUGUUCUUCUACCAGACUGUCUGAAAAAUCUUAGUUUCACAUUGACUUAUGAAUGGCAAAAGCAAUUUGGAGCUGAUUUUCAAGAAAUCUUUCAAUGCCACUUCCCCGACAUAGCAAGACUUACUACCUGUUCAAAGAAUGUGAAGAGGGAAAAAGAGUUGAGGUUUCCAUAGUAACCUUCAGUAGUCCAAAGUAAAAUUGCAUAAAAUGAAAUCAUUAUCACUCAGCAACUAAAGAAGACAGCUCAGCUGAUGAAGAGCCAAGUUGUAAAUGACUGCUGCAUGCUACACAAGCUGGACAGAAAAGAGGACACAUCCUGGAGUAUUACAGAUAACGUGUUUUACAUAAGACAGGUUACACAAAGAAUGACUGCUGUGGAAGGAGAAUGCAGAAAUAACAAGCUGUGCAGCCCUGGCCUAACAUCAUCAAAGAAGAGUAUCAGGACCCAGGAAAAUGUAUUGGACCUCAGCUUUCUUUCUGGGGAUGAGGAAGAUGUGAUCAACAGUUUCUUAAACUAAGAUAAAGUGAUAUCUUUGUAACACAUGAAGAGCUAAAUUGACACACAGUAUUUUAUAAAGUUAGCACACACGUGACAGGUUGCACUACAUCUGUAAUUUGUAUGAUUGUUAUGGUGAGUCCAAACACCUAUUUUUUGCUACUGUUGACCAGUUUCUGAAGAAAGUAACUAGAGAGUGCACCCAAAAUAUUUUCCAAGACUAUUGAUUCUGUAAGUGGCAGCAUUCCUCCUGCAGUAUGAACAGGAGAACAUUCCAGAUCUUGUAUGCUCUAGCAGAAGUGAUAAAAGGAGGGUCUUUCGAGGCACUGAGGAAUGGGAGGGCCUCAUACCUUUUCCAGAGUGUCUGGACCUUCUUGUAGGUGGCAUGCUGAAAGAAUAAUUAGAGUAUACUAUAUACAAUUUGUCAUGAAAUGCAAAAAAAUACUCCUAUCUUUAUCCUCUUUGUUUUUAAGGUUAUUACUGAGCAAAGACUAAAUAGGCAUGAAUAGAGGUAAACGAAGAAAAUUGCAACAGUUAAAUCUCUGCAGUGUUCAAAAGCUGUUUCUAAUAUGAAGCAAUUAAAAUCAAAGCUAAUUUAUGCAAUCAAGGUGAGUGAAAAUUUUUAACUGUGAGAUAUAGUUAUGCCAGAUCAAAAAUCACACCUAUGUACCGUAUAUAAGAGGCUGAAAUGCCAAAGGCUAAUGACUCAAACAAUUGACUGUUCGCAAAAGCAGCAGCUACUUUGUUGAGACCAGCUUUGCAUCCCCAAAUUGAGGGGGAGGAGGAGAGGUUUGGCUGUGUGGUGGCGAAAAUUUCUGAUCCACAUGAAAAAAAGAGGGUCCGCACCCACUACCAGAGGAUGAGCAUGACAAACUCACUUUUUAUAUACAAAAUGAUUGAGCCCUGGAAUUAUUGUGUUCCUGAUAACAUGCUACUAAUGUCUUAAACAAGCUGUUUUCUGGCCAGAUAAGGGAAAAGAUCACUAAGAUGCAGAUCCCGCAGAGGUGGUGUGAUGCUUCCGUCAUUACAUUUCCACUUUGAUAGGCACUGCUGCCUCAACUGAAGUGAGAGAAGCAGGGCCAAAUAGCAGUCAUUUCAUUGAAAAGGGCUAUAAACCAUCAAUGACCCCUGAAACACCCCCAGGUUCAUUUCUGGGGCCUUCACCAUAGGACUUUGCACAAUCCACAGUAUUGUAAAAGGCAGUGUAAAAGUUUAUCUGCUCAGGGGAGGUGUUUGGGCAUUCCCACCCAAACCUGAAAGUAGGUCAAACCAUUGAAAUUUGUGUUUCAUGGGCUUCCCCCACCCCAAUGGAUAGAGAUUGCACUUAUUACUUCAAUCAAUGGGCAUCAAAAUUGUCACAUUUGAGUCUCAUCACUGCAUCCAUGGGUGAUGAUAUCUUCCUCUCCAUUAUCUAUUUUAUCCUUUCUUUCUCUUUCUUUCUUUCCCCUAUGUAUUUUCUUAAGCAAUAUUUUUAUACUUUUGUGUUGCUAUAUUUCUAUAGAUAAUAACUAAAACAGUUACAUCCCUGCUUUCCAUUUCAAUCAACUUGUUCUGAAAUAAACCUGCCAUAUAUAAAUAUAUAAAAACAUGGGUCUGUCAGUGUUGCUUAACUCUAUUUUUCCCCAAGUGAUCUAUUAACAAAAACUUCAGUUACCCUUGCCUUCAGGUGCAGGUUGCAACACCAUGUAGAUUGUUAAGAAACUAUUCCAACACAUAGCUCCCACAGAAGUUUAAGUAUGUUGGCCCAAAUGGAAUAUCAUCUCACAAAAUGAUUGUGGAAUUAAAUUUCUGUGGAAUCUUCAUUCCUCAUGCUGCUCAAAACACAGUUGUACAAGGCCCAGAGCAAUUGCAUGUAGCUCUGAAGUUACACACGUCAAGUAGGAAGUUAAGCUGGAAAAACUAAUGGGUUUCAUCACAAACAAUUUUUUCCCUGUUUUUCUACAGAUCUUCAAAACACACUUAUUAAAAAAAAAAAAAUAGUAUGGGGACCCAUGUAUAAAAAAAUUGUAGGAACAAAGGUAUUGCCUGAUUUUGUUUGCUUUCUUUACAAACUCCUUUCUUGUGUGGGAUGGGGACUGUAGUUUUCUCAGAAACAGAAAAAGAUUAUGAGAUCAUAUGCAUAUGGAAUUUCUGAUAGCAAGAGUCAUCAGAGGAGAAAAAUAAAAAAAAUUAAAUGGAACAAUAUAAGAAACAUAAAAGUAGAAGACAAUGCUUUAACAAUGUGUAGACACGUGAAUUCAUGUAGUUUUAUUUCAGGGCUAAAUAUAUGCACUGGGAACAUGCUAUUAGUAUCCAUCUUGUACAGACAUCUUGAAUUCUUAUUGCUGUUGUAUAGUAAGUCAAGAUUUAUAUUGUGAAGUGUUCAUUUACAAUCCUUUCUACCCGCAAUAAGUACCUUUAAAAAUGCAUUAUCUGCAUUAUCUGAGACAAAUGAUCAAGAGCUCAUUGAAAAAUUGCCGCACAUUUAUAACUAUGACUUUAUUACAAGUCACAGACCAUACAUUACUUUAAGUCUGAUCAGUACAGCAACGCGCCAAGGAAAACAGUGUUUAUAUCCUACUAAAAGUUGGGGUUUUUUUGGUUGUUGGAGUUUAGGGUCUUUUUGGUUUUUUAUUCCCUGCAAGGUGGCUUCCUGCUAAUGAUGAUCUGAGCAUCUCUGUAGCUACAGUUCUGCACAGGCUGCUUAAUGAAUUUUGCAGUGUCAGGAAGCCCUGACUUUGCAUACUGUACAGACUUGGAACUUUUAUAGCAACACACACAGCUUGCAGGAUUUCACUUGAUACAUAAUCUCUCUAUAUAUUACUGGCAAUAAGUAACAACUGUCUGUCUCAGCAGUCUAUAUCUCAUUACUAUUUAUGAUGGACUGGUCUGAACAACUCUCCUUCAACAGCAUUAUCUAUAACGCAGAUUCUGUUUUCUAUCUAAACCUCAUUUCCAGAAUGCAAGUGGUUUUGCCACUUCUGAAUCCAGUGUUAUCCAUUUUCAGCCUCCACAGCAUGGUUAGGACUGAAUGCAAGCUACCAUAUAUCCUACCUUGUUUCCUUAAAAACAGGAAUUCGGGCUCCAACAGGUAUCUAAUCUUCUCAAUAAAUGGCCAAGAUCCUUAGGUUGUUUUGCAUCAUCUCGGCAGAUAAUAAAUUCAAGGGCAUCAGAAAAUCACAGAUAAAGACCUUGAAGGAAUUAUUUCUGACUUUUGCAGGAAUUAUUUCAUAUAUUAAUAGAAGCCUGUAACUGUAAUUGUGUCACUUCAUGAGUUUCUAAUCAAAAGGGCAAUAGCUCUGGUAAAGUUAAUGAAAGAACAUGCAAAACAAGCAGCUUUUUGCUCUUCUUACUAAUCCACUCUUCUUCAUAACUGUGAUUCAGUGAUUCUGAGCUGCCCUUAGAUAGAAAUAGAAGGGGAGAUUUUGGUAAAGCAAGACAAAAAUCAUGACAUGCAUCUGAGGGUAUGAAAAUAUUCUUAUCUCUAAUUAAAAUCACUGAAAUGUACACUCAUGGACUAGUCAUAGUAGUUGUUUUGUUCUGAUCACACAUUAUGAAUUCACCAUAUGGGCUGUUCUGCUAAAAGCUUUUGUUUCCAUACCCUCCAACUCUCAGAGUUAAGAAAAUAACACAUAACAUUGAAUAAGACUCCAACAGUGCAUUUAUAUUGGUUCUCAGCUUGGCUUUUUUUCCUGUGGCAUUAUCAUCAAAAAGGACAGUGCAUGCUUCUUCAAUUAUUAGCUAAAUAUAGAGACUUAGAUGUUUAGAAAAAAUUCCCAGAUCCCAAAUGUAUAAAUUCACAUUUGUUUUAUGUCCAUAUUCAAUUAAAAUUUUAAAAAAGGAAAGAUAUAGGAUAAUAGAAUUUACAUACACUUUAGCCAAAGGGCACUCAUGUUCACUGAGAGGUUGCUUUUUUCUUCCCUUCGGGCUCUCUGAAGGAGCUCUCGACUCCACACAGCUGGCUUGCUAAAAGCUGAAUAAACCCACACUGCAGAACAUACAAUCCUGUUGGUAGCUUUUAUUUAAACAAACAAAAAGAAAUUACACCAAUAAUCAUUUCCCAAGGAUGAUUUAAUGUGUCUUGUUAUUCUGCUCAAUGCAUAUGGGUAGAUUUUGUUCAGUUAUAUAAAGACUGAAGUAAUUCAUAUAAUUCUAGUUUUAGAUCAAUAAGUGUGGUGGGUUGACACUGGCUGGGUGCCACAUGCCCAUCAAACCUGCACAAUACUCCCCUGUGCAGCUGAACAGGGGAGAAAAAAAGUAAUGAAACUGCUUGACAGUUCAGAUAAGGACAGGGAGAGAUCACUCACUCAUUACUGUCAUGUGUAAAACAAACUCAACUUUUGUAAAUUAAUUUAAUUAAUAAUCAAACAAAUCAGAGUAGACUAAUGCGAAAUAAGACAGACCUUAAAAAUUUUUUCCUCCCGCCUCUCCCUCCUUCACAGUCUCUACUGGCCACCCUCCUGAGAGGCACAAGAAAUGGGGAAUGGGCAUUAUAGUCACAUCAUGUUUCUUUUGCUGCUUCCUUCUCAAGGGCAGCUGUCCCUGUUCCAGUGUGGGGUCCAGACCUCAUGAACUUCUUCAGUGUGAGUCCUUUCCACAGACUGCAGUACUUCAUUAACUGCUCCAGCAUUGGUCUCCCAUAGUCCUACAAGGACAAAUGCUCCAGUGUGGGCUUCUCUUUCCACAGGUCUCUGGGUCUUGACAGGAACCUGCUAAAAUGUGGGUUUCCCACAAGGUCACAGCCUACUUUCAGUCAUCCAUCACGGUCUUUCAUGCACUGCAUGGGGACAGUUGUGUCAUCAUGAUCUUCUUCACAGGCUGAAGGGGAAUUUCAGCACCUGGAGCCCCUCUUUCCCUUCCUUUCUCCCUGGCCUUGCUGUCUGUGUGCUCUCACAUACUCUCAUUCUUCUCUUCCCUGACCUCUAUAAUUUCUGUGUCAUAAUCCUUUUUUUUCCCAUCUUAAAUAUGUUAUCACAGAGGCAUUACUACCAACUUUGAUGGCUGUCAGACAUGAUGAAAUUUUCUUUUACAGAAGCCACUCUGGCAAACUCCUACAACUUGCUCCAUUUCCAAAACCUGGUCAUGAAAACCCAAUACAGAGUAAAAUCAGAAUCCAUAAUUUUUGUUCAGAGGAGCCUAAUUUUUGUUAAAUAGAAAUUAAUAUUAGACAUAGAAUUCAACGCAAAACCUUAUCCUCGAUGAAGAUAAAUCAGCACAGCUCCAUAGGGUACAAUUGAGUUAUGCAAUUUAACCCCACCUGAUGGUUGUCCAAUCUUCUCUUAUAAUUAUAAUUGUAAUCUCAGACCUUGGGCAAGAUAUUGUUCAAAAAAUGGGGAGCAGUAAGAAGUGGUAUAUUUACUAAUUUUAGGAAACUAUAUACAGACUUUCAAACAGACACAUUAUAGCAGAAUUUAAAAUGAAUGUGAAAAUAAUUACUUAAUUAGCUUGCACAUUCAGUUAUAGUUAAUAAAGUAGCCACAUAGAAGAUAAAACGAAGUUAUCUCUUCCUCCUUGCUUUAUAAUAUUUUGUUGUACAGGCAUUGAAAUGAAAAUUGUAUUUUAAACAGAUAGAGUAACGCUGGGAUAUAUAUAAAACACAAUGAAAUAUGUUUAAUUUACAUGAAAUUAUAUUAAUAACUUCUGAUAAAUGUGUUGACAGGAAAAAUAUUCUUACAUGCUGGAAGGCAGAGGCUGAUUUUCCUAGGAUUUAUUUAUGGAAACAUACGGUGGUUAUUAUUUACUUUCCCAGUAAUGAUAAAAAUAUAUUUUGCAUGAGGAUUGUAAUUUACCUUUGAAUAUUUUCCAUAAUCCUUUUUUGAUGGAUUAUGAUAAUAAAAAAAUGAUGGAUAUUUGAGGGGAACUGAAGAAUCGAGUUUAAACCUGGAAGGAGUUGAAUGGUCUAAUAAUGUCCAAUGAGUUGAUGAUCAUACUCAUAGAGCUAGCGAGUUCCUAAUGCAAAGAAAGAAAGAGGAAUAGAAAAAAAAAAUCUAAAAAAUAUCUAUUUUUUUCAAAUUUUUUAGUCCUUUGACCUAGUAGGCUAAACUAAUAAGAGUGUAAAGGCUACAGUGGAGACUAAUGCUACUCUAAAAUUUUCCUCUAAAGAUCAGAAGUUAUUUCCAGACAUUUCAUAGUAAAUCUUGAGUAUGAGACCAAUAUGGAGAGAAGUGAUUAGUGUGAGACCCUUAACAAAUUACUAAUAGCAGUUGGAGCAGUGAAACUCUCAGCAGUUGACUUGCACAGAAACUUUCUUCAGGUGGUUGCUUAGGACUAAACAGAGCACAUGACCACUGAUGUUAAUCAUGGACCAAAAUCAAAUCUGACUUCACUGAAAGUUUCUGCCAGUAGUUAACAAGGAGGCUUAAAAACCAUCCUUCAUUGCCUAUUCCUUUUAAUUUUCUUCCAGCCAGUUAUUUAGGCAUUUCCUAUCACAGAAGCUACUUAAUAAGCGUGGAAACCAUACUUUGUCUGAAAAUUCUUAAAACUGAUGGUAUUCUUUAUAUUCACAACACCUUUUUGCACAAAUAUUUCCAUAAUUUAAGGGGUCAUUCACAAGUCUGGAUAAGGUAGGUAUCUCUCAAAAGUGGUAUGUACUAUGCAGAGAGUAGAUAUUUAAUUUAAAACAUUAUUUCUUAAAAUAAGUUAUCACAAAUCAUGUAAUAAUUAUUUUCUUCUCUAUCAAUAACUUCCCCAGAACAUGCUUCUCACUGGAAAUGGAUGAGAUAGUCUGUAAUCUUUUGCUGUUUGUUCUCAGUGUGCAGAAGAUGUGCAAAAGUCAGGAGAUAAAACAUCCACCAAGAACUGUUAAUAAGGCUAUCCCUAUGAUUUCAUACAAAGAAAUUCAACAUAAAUAUUUCAAAACCUGAAAACAAUCAGAUAAGAAUAAAAAAAAAUACAAUAUUGACAUGCAGUCUGCAAACAGACAUACAGAUGCAGAAAUUCCUGCUCAGAAAGGACCAUGUAAUUUAACAAGUUCACAACAUCUUCCUAGUCUCCAGAUAAUUCAGAAAUAUUGUUUUUGCCAUAUAUUAAUACAUAUUUAGGCCUUGUACUACCAAUAUGCACACAUGCAUGUUGUAUCGAGGACUUAUGGUAACUUCUCGUGAAGGACAACUGAAGUCCAUGUUUAGUCCCACAGAUCCAAAUAUAUUUCUUGAAGACAAAUUCUACGUGCCACCUGAGAAAGACAACAUUAGUCUCCAUGAAACUCAAAGUAUGUUAUGAACAUCAGUCCUAAGUAGCAUCCUACUAUACCUGAACAUUCUACAUUCAAAACCAUGAUUAACAUAGAAAGUUGAAUUUCAAUGAGAAGCAAACAAAAAAGAAACACAGAAUAGCUCCCUUAAAGGCUGCAGUAUUUCCAAGAACUUUAUCUUAUUUCUAUUCUUUUCAAUGAAUUCAUUGAGCCUUUCCAAAACACAUUAUUUCCAAUACACCCAUUCUAUAUUUUCCUGGUAAGAAAAAUAUAACAUCUAGUAGGAGUCUGAUUCAUAUGACUCUGUGGAUACAGUUACAUCCCAAAUCUUCAUUUAAAUUUAAUUUAAUUUACUUAAUUUAAAUUAAAUAAUAUUAUACCAUUGCUUAUUUAAUCCUUGUAAUUAGGCUUAAUCAAAACUUUAUUCCAGCAAUUUAUUAAUUUAUUAGAGGUGGUAAGAAAGAGAGAUAUUGCUACCUCUUUUCCUGCAAAAACUCAGUUUACUUUUUAUAUCAUUAGGCUUUUACACUCCUUUAAUUUCUUAAAUUGAUUUUUUACCAUAUUUAAGGUGUUAUAAUAUUUAAAAACCACUAAAUAUGCCACUUAUGUUUACAUAAAAGGACCCACCCUGUUGCACUUGUUGCUUGAGACUAUGAUCACACCAAAACUGAGCCAGGUCCUUAAGUCUUCUUGUUCAUAAACUAUUUUUUAGAUAACCACAGCACUCUUUGGCACCUGUGGAGAAUUUAGUCACUUCUUUCAAAAGCAUAAGUUUCAGUUAAUGCACAAGUUGGAGAUAAUAACAGAGACAAAUAAUCUUAAAAGUGAAAACACUGUGCCACACAGACCACUGCAGGUCACUAAAUGUAAACAUGUGACUUCACUCCUCUGAAAGAAAAUACAAAUAACCCUUAGAGACUGGAUUUGCAAACAUGAGGUGCAAAAAAUACUAUGAUUUUUCAAUUAUUUCUAUAUUUUGUUGUUGUCUUCAUUUUUCUCUUUAACUUUCAUAUGUGUUGUCCUGUCUUUUUCACUUUCUGUUUGUUACCUAUGAAAUCCAUUUCUCUCAUUCUUUCCUCCACUCCCUGCUCUCCACACCAGGGAGGAGUUUUGGCUCCAUUUUCUCAAUGCUCUCUCAUUUGGCAGUGUAGACAGUAGUUAAGUCCCCUGUAGAAUUUUCUUGUUUAGACUGAACAACCCCAAAUUUCUCAUCUUCUUCCCAUAUUUCAUGGGGCUCUGUGGCAAAUGGCAUAGGCUGGGAGUGGCUGAAAUUCAAUCAUAAGUGUUGAGACAGGAGUGAGAUUGUAAUUUAAAGGAAAGAGACACACCAGUCUCUGUGGGAGAUGCAAAGAACCUUCAAGAAGAGCUGAGUGAGAGCACCUGCAAUGGUGACAACCUGUUCAGAUGCUUCAAAAAUCUGAAUGGGCUGAUCAGAUAUAGUAUUCACUGUCCAACCCUUUAAUUGACAGGAUCUGGAGUAACUCAGGGAAAGACCUGUAUCACACAGCACAGACAGGACUUCUGCACUGGCCAACAUGAGCUUUCUCUGAGCGUGCAAUUUUUUUCCCCAAUGGGAAAAGGAGGUCAUAUACCACUUGCCAACAUUAAACAUAUCUGUAAGGGAGUGUGUUCAUUUGUGUUCAAGUCCAUUUACUCUCUGCACAGUCAAUUUGGUAUUAAACCACAAGAACAAAUGUUGAUAUCAGAAGUGGAAUGCCAUUGUACUAAUCAGGCAUCUGUAACAAGGGGGUGGAUGAUGAGUAUUAGGAUCUGGAAGAUGUUGCCAUUGCAGAAGCUGUCUCUGGGCUGUCCCUGAGCAAGGGAUAUCUGUCAUGGUAGAGGGUUGUACACAGAUACCUGAUUCCCAAAUUUGGCCAGUGAGUUGUAAAGUUGUUAAUGUCCUGAGGGCAGGCCAGAGACAUGGAGCUGCUACUCACUGGUGAGCCAGAGAAUAAAGGGUAGAUGUCUAGAGACUUACUCAAGACAUAAAUCAUUGCAAACUAUGUGCCAUCAUAAAAAAACCUCAGCAAACUAUUUGCCAUCUCUUUCUGAUAUAAUUUUAUUUUGCCUUUUGAGAUCAUUUUGUACUCUAAUUUUUUUGGUAGUUCAAAAUUAUGUCUUAAUAAAGAAAAAAAUAUCUUAAGUGGACUGUUGUGAGUACAUAAAUUACAUGAAAAAAAUCUGGAUUUUUACAUAAGAUCUUAUAUUUUCCCCCAAAUAAAAUAUAUUUUCAGAAUG